ACUCAGUGUUUGUUCUUUUCUCAGUCAGUGCAGAUCACCAUGAUCAUUUUCACUGUACUUCUGCUCUCAGCUCUUAAAGGUAACAGAGCUGAAGACGUCAUCACUCCAGACAGAGAUGUUGUUUUUGCUGUUGAAGGUCAAAAAGUUACACUUUCCUGUAACUACAAUGGAACUGAAUAUGGUCUUCACUGGUAUCGACAGUAUUCAGGUUCACCUCCACAGUUCCUUAUAUUGGAAUAUUCAGGGAAUCCUAUUACUGCUACACCUCCAGUUCCUGGAAUAUCAAUUGAACAUGCAAAAAAACGGAAGAAAGUGGAUCUGAUCAUCUCCUCUGCUGCAGUAUCAGACUCUGCACUCUACUACUGUGCCAUGAGGCCCACAGUGACAGGAAACCCACCUACACUGUACAAAAACCCCUUACUGUAGCAAAAGCUAAAACUGACAAUGGCUCAUUAUUUAACAAACCUUAGAAGCUGAACAAUGAAGGCUCAGAAUGACAAUGCGAGCUGAUAUUUUAGCGAUGAUAAAUUAUGUGGAAACAGCAGAUUUGUGCAGAAGUUGAAACAUGAUAUACUGUGAAAAGGACACAAAUGAAUAGUAAUAUCUCCUCUGAAAAUGCAUAUAUAGUAUGAAUAUUCAAACUUAAAACUACAAUGUGUCUGACUUUAUUUUUGUUUCAUUAUACAGUCCAUAUCGAAAUGUUGAAUGUUAUGUUCAUUUCUAACUCACAGUUUG